CCUACGGGAGGCUGCAGUGAGGAAUAUUGGUCAAUGGACGAGAGUCUGAACCAGCCAAGUAGCGUGAAGGAUGACUGCCCUAUGGGUUGUAAACUUCUUUUAUAAAGGAAUAAAACGAGGCACGUGUGCCCUUUUGCAUGUACUUUAUGAAUAAGGAUCGGCUAACUCCGUGCCAGCAGCCGCGGUAAUACGGAGGAUCCGAGCGUUAUCCGGAUUUAUUGGGUUUAAAGGGAGCGUAGAUGGGUUGUUAAGUCAGUUGUGAAAGUUUGCGGCUCAACCGUAAAAUUGCAAUUGAUACUGGCAGUCUUGAGUACAGUUGAGGUAGGCGAAAUUCGUGGUGUAGCGGUGAAAUGCUUAGAUAUCACGAAGAACCCCGAUUGCGAAGGCAGCUUACUAAACUGUGACUGACAUUGAUGCUCGAAAGUGUGGGUAUCAAACAGGAUUAGAUACCCGUGUAGUC
rnacentral:rRNA from 1 species